rnacentral:rRNA from 1 species
CCCAGACUCCUACGGGAGGCAGCAGUGGGGAAUAUUGCACAAUGGGGGAAACCCUGAUGCAGCAACGCCGCGUGAGUGAAGAAGCGUUUCGGCGCGUAAAGCUCUGUCAGCGGGGAAGAAAGAAGACGGUACCCGACCAAGAAGCCCCGGCUAACUACGUGCCAGCAGCCGCGGUAAUACGUAGGGGGCGAGCGUUAUCCGGAAUUACUGGGUGUAAAGGGCGUGUAGCCGGGCUGACAAGUCAGAUGUGAAAUCCGGGGGCUCAACCCCCGAACUGCAUUUGAAACUGUUGGUCUUGAGUAUCGGAGAGGCAGGCGGAAUUCCUAGUGUAGCGGUGAAAUGCGUAGAUAUUAGGAGGAACACCGGUGGCGAAGGCGGCCUGCUGGACUGCAACUGACGUUGAGGCCCGAAAGCGUGGGGAGCAAACAGGAUUAGAUACCCCCGUA